rnacentral:sRNA from 2 species
UGUAUCUGAAGUCUGACGAGGAUGAGAACCUCCGGGGGCAAGAGGUUCGACUCGAGCGAAGCGAGAGAACGUUGCGUC